GACGAACGCUGGCGGCGUGCUUAACACAUGCAAGUCGUACGGUAAGGCCCUUUCGGGGGUACACGAGUGGCGAACGGGUGAGUAACACGUGAGUAACCUGCCCACAACUUUGGGAUAACGCUAGGAAACUGGUGCUAAUACUGGAUAUGUGCUCCUGCUGCAUGGUGGGGGUUGGAAAGCUCCGGCGGUUGUGGAUGGACUCGCGGCCUAUCAGCUUGUUGGUGGGGUAGUGGCCUACCAAGGCGGCGACGAGUAGCCGGCCUGAGAGGGUGACCGGCCACAUUGGGACUGAGAUACGGCCCAGACUCCUACGGGAGGCAGCAGUGGGGAAUAUUGCACAAUGGGCGCAAGCCUGAUGCAGCAACGCCGCGUGCGGGAUGACGGCCUUCGGGUUGUAAACCGCUUUCAGCAGGGACGAAGCUUUUUGUGACGGUACCUGCAGAAGAAGCACCGGCUAACUACGUG
rnacentral:rRNA from 1 species